GGAAUUCUUCGGGGCAGGGUGAUAUGAGUUCACAGAGAUGGAAGCAUAGAUUCCCGACCGACGGUGAUUCUGGCAGACGCCAGAUCAGUCCGUGAGCUGCAGUUGCAGUUGAGCCGGUGUGAAUCCGGGACCGACAGUAUAGUCUGGAUGAGAGAAGAGAAGC
rnacentral:ncRNA from 2 species